AGCUUUGCGCAGUGGCAGUAUCAUAGCCAAUGAGGUUUAUCCGAGGCGCAAUUAUUGCUAAUCAAAAACUUAAUGAAUUCCCAACAACAAAAAUAAAUAAAUAAGUAAAUAAAUAAAUACCAUCACUAAAUUCUUUAAAAGUCUGAAUGCAUUUGUGCAUG
rnacentral:snRNA from 1 species